GAAAUGAAUGGAGUCUCAUCUCUAGGUUUUUGACAAAAGGUCUUUCGUUCGUUUUGGGUUUUUCAUUCAGUCUCCCGUGUUCGUCUAAAGCAGCUGUUUAUGAAAUAAGUAAAAAUAGAAGAAAAGUUUCAGUGCAAAUUAAAAAGUGAAUAAAAAGGUAUGGAAAAAAAAACGGAAUAUUCUAAAUUUUUAGUGAAACGCGAGUGCUAAUCGCCGCCUUGAACCUCACCUGUUUUAACCUUGCUAACCUGGCAAGGAGCAACAUCACCGUGGAAUUAUGAACACAACUGAUUAACAAAUCCUGAUGACAAAAAACAAUUGAACCUCGCGGCAUACGGAAAAUCCAGCUCCAUUAUAGGCGACACAUCUUAUACGCCAAAAUCUCAAGUUUGUCCGCGUUAAACCUCGUGUUAUAGUGAAUGAUCUGGCUGCUGAAGGACACUAUUCUUUGCAGAAUGGCCGCGGGCCCAAGAAGAACUACUAAAACUGCGGCAGUGUGGCGACAUCCGUGGUCUCUGUGCCAGAAAGCGCCAUCUGACAAGAAUAGCGAAUAUUUUUCCGAUUGGUCAGCACAGCAAAUGCCAGGCAACGACUGAUCUGCUUCCUAGCAAAUCAAUAUAUAUAAAUAUAUAUGUAUAUAUAAUAUCUUUUCGAAUCGAAACGGACCUUCCAUUAGUUUGGGGUAUGUACGAAUGACUACCUUGAUGGCCAUCGACACAAAGCCAGUGGGUUGCUUUCAGCGCAAGUCAUCCACUGGUACUUGUUUUGUGAAAAAUAUAUAUAACAUAAAAUGUAUAUAAAAUAAUAAAUAUAUAUAUGAAAUAUAAUAAAUAUAACAAAAAAAUUGGACAACGCCCAAGCCCAGGAAAACCAGAAGCAGCUAUGUUCAAUGCUUCAAGAUAGGUUUAUUUUGACCACACACAUUAGGUGAAGAGAAUAAAUGGUCAUCAGGAUUACCAAAGGUCUCUAAAGCCUUGCCAAGCUAUGGAAACUCUUCAAGAAUCUUUCAAAUUGUGAGCUUUGCCCUAUCAUUGACUAAACUCUGCAUUGAUAUGUAUGUAUUAUACUAGGCACAACCCAUUUGUAUUGGAAAUAAUGGACUACAUCUUGAUCUCACAAAAACAUAUAUUCGUGGACAAGCUAGUAAUUUUUUCCUGGGCUGGAACUAACCAUCGCUUCCUAUAUUAAUCCACCAAGCCACCAAGGAUGUCAUACGGAUACACGCCAAGCCAAAUUAUUUCCCCUCCCUUUCGGGACCAAGACUUGAUAAAGUUAGCUAAGUCUGCUUAAAGUCUGCAGGACGGUCGUCAACUAGUCUUUGUUGUGGUGGCCAGGCACCGUGAUCAGGUGGCCAGGCACCGUGAUCAUGGAUGUCGCCACUUUGCCGCAGAGCUAGUACUUCUUCUUGGUCUCGCGGUCAGUUCAGCAAAGAAAAGUGUUCUACACUAAUUAGAUUAUUGACAAUGAAAUGGGGCUAAACGCUGGCAAGAUUCAAAUUCCGGCGUAUAAAAUGAAUCGCGUUUAGGACUAAACUUUCUUCAGGAUCUGCUGAGGACAUGCCUGGGCUCACAUGGGAUUUGUGGGAACAUUUGUUCCAGUUGCCUUAAAGUUUUAUCAAGAUUUUUUAAGCUCUAAAUAAAUAAAUGUAAGAAUCGAA